rnacentral:rRNA from 1 species
AGUAAAUUGGCAAACACAACACGCACUCUUUAUUUGUGUACCGACGUUAGGUCGCACACGCAAGUGUGGGGCCUACUUUCUUACACACCAUUGACCAACCAAUGUGCAAACCCAACUCUGAAGUUGUGGCCGCCGUUAACCGGCAGUCUUUAACGAAAACAACUCUCAACAACGGAUAUCUUGGCUCUCGCAACGAUGAAGAACGCAGCGAAAUGCGAUACGUAGUGUGAAUUGCAGAAUUCCGUGAACCAUCGAAUCUUUGAACGCAUAUUGCGCUCGACUCCUCGGAGAAGAGCAUGUCUGCCUCAGCGUCGGUUUACACCCUCACCCCACCUGCUUCUCCAAGCAGGUCGUGCUGUGUUUGCUCAAACCAGCAUGUGGGGUGGAUCUGACCCUCCCAAUUGGCGAUCCUGUCGCUGAUUGGGUUGGUUGAAGCACAGAGGCUUAAACUAGGACCCUUACCGGGCUCAACUGGAUAGGUAGCAACACUCUCACGAGUGCCUACACGAAGUUGUGUCUGAGGACCUGGUUAGGAGCCAAGCAGGAAACAUGCUUUAUCGCAUGUAUCACGUAUUCGACCUGAGCUCAGGCAAGGCUACCCGCUGAACUUAAGCAUAUU